CAAAGAAGCAUACAAGAGUGAUAUUGAUUCGGCUCAUCGCCCAACUGUUCAUGCAAAUUCAACAGAAAGUGCUGAGCCAAAAGCAAUAUCACGCCAUGUCUACUCCUCG
rnacentral:pre_miRNA from 1 species